GACGAACGCUGGCGGCGUGCUUAACACAUGCAAGUCGAACGGAAAGGCCCCUUUGGGGGUCCUCGAGUGGCGAACGGGUGAGUAACACGUGAGUAACCUGCCCUUGACUUCGGGAUAACUUCAGGAAACUGGGGCUAAUACCGGAUAGGAAUCCUUGCUGCAUGGGGGGGGUUGGAAAGCUUCGGCGGUUUUGGAUGGACUCGCGGCUUAUCCGCUUGUUGGUGGGGUAGUGGCUUACCAAGGCUUUGACGGGUAGCCGGCCUGAGAGGGCGACCGGCCACAUUGGGACUGAGAUACGGCCCAGACUCCUACGGGAGGCAGCAGUGGGGAAUAUUGCACAAUGGGCGGCAGCCUGAUGCAGCAACGCCGCGUGCGGGAUGACGGCCUUCGGGUUGUAAACCGCUUUCAGCAGGGGCGAAGCUUGUGGUGACGGUACCUGCAGAAGAAGCACCGGCUAACUACGUG
rnacentral:rRNA from 1 species